GCUACGGGUGGCAGCAGUGAGGAAUAUUGGUCAAUGUGCGCGAGCCUGAACCAGCCAAGUAGCGUGAAGGAUGACUGCCCUACGGGUUGUAAACUUCUUUUGUCAGGGAGCAAUUGGGUCCACGCGUGGGCUUAGCGAGAGUACCUGAAGAAAAAGCAUCGGCUAACUCCGUGCCAGCAGCCGCGGUAAUACGGAGGAUGCGAGCGUUAUCCGGAUUUAUUGGGUUUAAAUGGUGCGUAGGCGGAAUAUCAAGUCAGCGGUAAAAAUUCGGGGCUCAACCCCGUCGGGCCGUUGAAACUGAUGUUAUUGAGUGGGCGAGAAGGAUGCGGAAUGCGUGGUGUAGAGGUGAAAUGCAUAGAU
rnacentral:rRNA from 1 species